AGCAGCCGCGGUAAUUCCAGCUCCAAUAGCGUAUAUUAGUGUUGUUGCGGUUAAAAAGCUCGUAGUUGAAUUUCGGGAUUGGGAUACAUUGGUCGUGCCUUUAGGGGCAUGAAUCGGUGUGUGGUCAAUUCUCACCUUCUGGUGAAUCGGGAUGCUCUCGGGUGUUUCGAUGAACUAGGACCUUUACUUUGAAAAAAUUAGAGUGUUUAAAGCGGGCAUUUUUGCUUGAAUACAUUAGCAUGGAAUAAUAAAAUAGGACGAUGGUUCUAUUUUGUUGGUUUUAGAACCACGUA
rnacentral:rRNA from 1 species